rnacentral:rRNA from 1 species
UACGAAGGGGGCUAGCGUUGCUCGGAAUCACUGGGCGUAAAGGGUGCGUAGGCGGGUCUUUAAGUCAGGGGUGAAAUCCUGGAGCUCAACUCCAGAACUGCCUUUGAUACUGAGGAUCUUGAGGUCGGGAGAGGUGAGUGGAACUGCGAGUGUAGAGGUGAAAUUCGUAGAUAUUCGCAAGAACACCAGUGGCGAAGGCGGCUCACUGGCCCGAUACUGACGCUGAGGCACGAAAGCGUGGGGAGCAAACAGG